rnacentral:rRNA from 1 species
GAUCAUGGCUCAGGAUGAACGCUAGCUACAGGCUUAACACAUGCAAGUCGAGGGGCAUCAGUUUGGUUUGCUUGCAAACCAAAGCUGGCGACCGGCGCACGGGUGAGUAACACGUAUCCAACCUACCUCAUACUCGGGGAUAGCCUUUCGAAAGAAAGAUUAAUAUCCGAUAGCAUAUAUUUCCCGCAUGGGUUUUAUAUUAAAGAAAUUCGGUAUGAGAUGGGGAUGCGUUCCAUUAGUUUGUUGGGGGGUAACGGG